rnacentral:rRNA from 1 species
CCCUUAGAUGAUUUGGGCUGCACGCGCGCUACACUGACCCUAACAAUAAGCAACUGUCUGGCCUGAGAUGGCUGGGUAGCCUUUUCAACCCAUGUCAUGAUUGGGCUAGAUUUUUGUAAGUCUUGAUCUCUAACGAGGAAUCCCUAGUAUGCGUGAAUCAUCAAUCCAUGCAGAUUAUGUCCCUGCCCUUUGUACACACCGCCCGUCGCUCCUACUGAUUGGGUGAUCCGGUGAGCUGUUCGGCCAUAGCAAUGUUUCUUGAGCAGGGCAAUGAAUGUUUCGCAAACCUUGCCACUUAGAGGAAGGAGAAGUCGUAACA